rnacentral:rRNA from 1 species
CAGCAGCCACGGGAAUACGAAGGGUGCGAGCGUUACUCGGAAUUACUGGGCGUAAAGCGUGUGUAGGUGGUUGUUUUAGUCUGUUGUGAAAGCCCUGGGCUCAACCUGGGAAUUGCAGUGGAUACUGGGUCACUAGAGUGUGGUAGAGGAUAGUGGAAUUUCCGGUGUAGCAGUGAAAUGCGUAGAGAUCGGAAGGAACAUCUGUGGCGAAGGCGACUAUCUGGGCCAACACUGACACUGAGGCACGAAAGCGUGGGGAGCAAACAGGAUUAGAUACCCCAGUAGUCCCUGUCUCUUAUAC